UACGUAGGUGGCAAGCGUUAUCCGGAAUUAUUGGGCGUAAAGCGCGCGUAGGCGGUUUUUUAAGUCUGAUGUGAAAGCCCACGGCUCAACCGUGGAGGGUCAUUGGAAACUGGAAAACUUGAGUGCAGAAGAGGAAAGCGGAAUUCCAUGUGUAGCGGUGAAAUGCGCAGAGAUAUGGAGGAACACCAGUGGCGAAGGCGACUUUCUGGUCUGUAACUGACGCUGAUGUGCGAAAGCGUGGGGAUCAAACA
rnacentral:rRNA from 1 species